AUUUUUCCUGUCGCGGAGAUCCUGAGUGGCAGCGUGAGUCCAGCGUACACAGCCAUUGGUCCCUCCACAGUCCUGACUGAUCCCGCACCCUGGUGUAAGGAUCAACAAGGAAGGAUCUGAGUCUCUCCCUGUGACGACAGCCCUGAAGAACUCCUGCAAUGUCAAGGUGGCAAUUUCCAAGAAGCAGUCUGGGACCUGCAGCCCCCAAGACACCCCCAAGAAAAGGAAGAAAUGAGGCUGGAAGAGCUGGCACCACGGAGAGCCACUGGCUGCUGCUGCCUGCUGCUGGUUCAGAGAAUCCCUGCCCUGCUGCCCUGGGUUCUGCAGCCCAAGACUGUCCCCUAGUGAAACCACAGACCUUAAGUGACCAUCUAGGGAGACAGUCUUGGGAGCGGGUAUUAGAGUCCUUCAGGACUUGUCGGUUUCACCACCUGGGUGGUUUAACGACUGUAGGAGACCUGAGCUUUCUUUUCCUUAGACCUGUUAUAAGAAAGGCUGUCCUCAAGCUUAUGACUGCCAUCUGCCAACCAUUCUGAGAACACACAUCUUAGAUCUUGAGGGACCCAGCACAUGUCUUACCUCAAAGUCAUUCCCCUUGUUAUAGUGUGUGUUGAGAACUCGAAAAAGCUCCGAGUCUCGGAGGACGGCCAGCGCUUGGGCAUUCGUGACGCCGUCUGAAAGCGCUUGCCGGGCAUACUUCUCCAUCUGGAUAUAAUAAAAUUCACGGAAGUUGCUGAACCACUUGAUCAUCUGGGAGGUGAUGCAGCGGUUGAACUGUGGGAACAAAGGGUUCAUCAAGUCAGACAUUUGCCUCGGGGUGCUCAGAGUCAGAACUGUCAGUGUCCACUUCAGUCUGAGAAUAAUGAGAAUUGGCCUCAAACACUAACCAUUUUUCCUUCAGAAAAAGAAGCCACAAGUACUGGCCAAUCCUGUGCAGUUAAACCAAAAAAUCCAGUGUUUGCUGGAAAAUAGAUGUUAUGUCUACAAAA